rnacentral:rRNA from 1 species
GAUGAACGCUGACAGAAUGCUUAACACAUGCAAGUCUUUGGCGAAGCUGUGCUUGCACAGCCUAGCCAAGGCGGACGGGUGAGUAACGCGUAAGGAACUUGCCCUGCAGUCAGGGAUGACAGACGGAAACGACUGAUAAGACCUGGUAAAGUCAGGCGGACUCAUGUCCAGCCUGAUGAAAAGAGAUGCUGCAGGAGAGCCUUGCGUCCUAUUAGCUUGUUGGUGGGGUAACGGCCCACCAAGGCGAUGAUAGGUAGCCGGCCUGAGAGGGUGGACGGCCACAAGGGGACUGAGAUACGGCCCUUACUCCUACGGGAGGCAGCAGUGGGGAAUAUUGGACAAUGGGGGCAACCCUGAUCCAGCAAUUCUGUGUGCACGAUGAAGGUUUUCGGAUUGUAAAGUGCUUUCAGCAGGGAAGAAAAAAAUGACGGUACCUGCAGAAGAAGCGACGGCUAAAUACGUG